ACGAACGCUGGCGGCGUGGAUAAGACAUGCAAGUCGAACGGGAGAAUUGCUAGCUUGCUAAUAAUUCUCUAGUGGCGCACGGGUGAGUAACACGUGAGUAACCUGCCUCUUAGUGGGGGAUAGCCCUGGGAAACCGGGAUUAAUACCGCAUACGAUUGAAAGAUCAAAGCAGCAAUGCGCUAGGAGAUGGGCUCGCGGCCUAUUAGUUAGUUGGUGAGGUAACGGCUCACCAAGGCGAUGACGGGUAGCCGGUCUGAGAGGAUGUCCGGCCACACUGGAACUGAGACACGGUCCAGACACCUACGGGUGGCAGCAGUCGAGAAUCAUUCACAAUGGGGGCAACCCUGAUGGUGCGACGCCGCGUGGGGGAAUGAAGGUCUUCGGAUUGUAAACCCCUGUCAUGUGGGAGCAAAUUAAAAAGAUAGUACCACAAGAGGAAGAGACGGCUAACUCUGUGCCAGCAGCCGCGGUAAUACAGAGGUCUCAAGCGUUGUUCGGAAUCACUGGGCGUAAAGCGUGCGUAGGCUGUUUCGUAAGUCGUGUGUGAAAGGCAGGGGCUCAACCCCUGGAUUGCACAUGAUACUGCGAGACUAGAGUAAUGGAGGGGGAACCGGAAUUCUCGGUGUAGCAGUGAAAUGCGUAGAUAUCGAGAGGAACACUCGUGGCGAAGGCGGGUUCCUGGACAUUAACUGACGCUGAGGCACGAAGGCCAGGGGAGCGAAAGGGAUUAGAUACCCCUGUAGUCCUGGCAGUAAACGGUGCACGCUUGGUGUGCGGGGAAUCGACCCCCUGCGUGCCGGAGCUAACGCGUUAAGCGUGCCGCCUGGGGAGUACGGUCGCAAGAUUAAAACUCAAAGAAAUUGACGGGGACCCGCACAAGCGGUGGAGUAUGUGGCUUAAUUCGAUGCAACGCGAAGAACCUUACCUGGGCUUGACAUGUAAUGAACAACAUGUGAAAGCAUGCGACUCUUCGGAGGCGUUACACAGGUGCUGCAUGGCCGUCGUCAGCUCGUGUCGUGAGAUGUUUGGUUAAGUCCAGCAACGAGCGCAACCCCUGUUGCCAGUUACCAGCACGUCAAGGUGGGGACUCUGGCGAGACUGCCCAGAUUAACUGGGAGGAAGGUGGGGACGACGUCAGGUCAGUAUGGCCCUUAUGCCCAGGGCUGCACACGUACUACAAUGCCCAGUACAGAGGGGGCCGAAGCCGCGAGGCGGAGGAAAUCCUGAAAACUGGGCCCAGUUCGGACUGUAGGCUGCAACCCGCCUACACGAAGCCGGAAUCGCUAGUAAUGGCGCAUCAGCUACGGCGCCGUGAAUACGUUCCCGGGUCUUGUACACACCGCCCGUCACAUCAUGGAAGCCGGUCGCACCCGAAGUAUCUGAAGCCAACCGCAAGGAGGCAGGGUCCUAAGGUGAGACUGGUAACUGGGAUG
rnacentral:rRNA from 1 species